AGUGAACGCUGGCGGUAGGCCUAACACAUGCAAGUCGAACGGCAGCACAGUAAGAGCUUGCUCUUACGGGUGGCGAGUGGCGGACGGGUGAGGAAUACAUCGGAAUCUACUUUUUCGUGGGGGAUAACGUAGGGAAACUUACGCUAAUACCGCAUACGACCUACGGGUGAAAGCAGGGGAUCUUCGGACCUUGCGCGAUUGAAUGAGCCGAUGUCGGAUUAGCUAGUUGGCGGGGUAAAGGCCCACCAAGGCGACGAUCCGUAGCUGGUCUGAGAGGAUGAUCAGCCACACUGGAACUGAGACACGGUCCAGACUCCUACGGGAGGCAGCAGUGGGGAAUAUUGGACAAUGGGCGAAAGCCUGAUCCAGCCAUACCGCGUGGGUGAAGAAGGCCUUCGGGUUGUAAAGCCCUUUUGUUGGGAAAGAAAAGCAGCAGGUUGAUACCCCGCUGUUCUGACGGUACCCAAAGAAUAAGCACCGGCUAACUUCGUG
rnacentral:rRNA from 1 species